UGGUCCUUUGUCAUUCUUUUCCAUUACUAGAAUGAUGUCUGAGUUACAAAAAGAGAUUAAGCAAACCUUGCUGUGAGUAAUACCAAGCCUUCCUGACGAGCCACUCAAUCAGUCAGUUGAGAAAUGUGUAGGCUGAGGAGUAAAAGAUUUAAUGUACGUGAAAGAAGAGGACUUUUUAAGAGUUCAUACAACCUGUCCAGUGCCAAACUGUUCAGCACCCGGAAAGAUCAUGAACAAAGAAGCAGCAUUUUGGUUCAGUAAUUAGUUUGACCUAGGACUCCUCAAAAUUCACCACAAAUGAGCUCCUCAGGCUCCUCAGUCAGAAAAUGGAUGGACUCACACUUCAAGCAGAUGCAUUUGCCACUUCAGCAGAUGUCCAAGGAACACUCAACUUGCCUGACAGUCCUUGAAUUAUAAUUCUUGGUCAAACUCUAAGCAACCAGCAGUGGAUGGUGAGCACAUGAUGUAAAGGUCACAUUGUAUGUGAGGGAACACAACUCAGCUUUGUCUGUGGCCGUGCUGCUGUGUUUGCUUCAUGUUAUGAUUUCAACCUCCAAUAUAGGAAGAGACUGCAAGCACCUUUGAUUUUGUUCAAAGAUGAUAUAUUGACAUCAACCCUGAACACAUGUUCAAGGCCAAUCAAGGAAAAGCUACAUCCAAGAAGACUAGCCAAGCAGUCCAUAACAAGAAGAACACAGUAAACCCUCAUUUUUCCUAACCACUUUGUAAGAUAAUGGACUUUAAACAGAAUUUGGUCUGAGUUCAUCCAAGACCACUUUGUUCACUUUUAAUUUUGACAGUUUAGGCAAUUUUUCUCUAACAUGGUGUUCAUAUUCUAUUUUAAUGUGAAAGUCAACAUUGGUGCUACUUUUAAAUUUAGUACUGAAUGCUGCACUAUGUUUAUUGCCAGUGUUUCCCACCUCUGUUGCAACCAUUUGUGUUUAUCUGAAAUAAUGGAAGCCUGCUAACAAUUAAAAAAACUGGUAAUGUAAAAAGCUAAUCAAGACCAUAAAAAUAAAUGUUUAUUGGAAUGUUUCAAAUGCUCAUAUUAACCUGGCUUAUGGCUCCGGGGCGAUCACGCAUGAAAUUAUCAAGCGUUAUUGUUUGUGGCUGUGUAUUGGAACCUGCAAAUCCUGCUACCUCCUCCUGCUAUGCUUUCUGCUGCUUUG